rnacentral:lncRNA from 1 species
AGAUGCGUCCUAAGGCGCUCCGGCCAGCGCCCUGCAUGCACACGAGGGCCUUCCUCAGUGUGGCCCCAGCACAUCUGUAGACCUGAGGCGACACACCCAGCCUUCUGCCAGCAUCUCUUUGUUUAUUCUGCUUGUCCUGGUUUUGCGUUGACACGAGCAAGCCGAGUCUAAAAAACACAGAGCUACAGAAUUUAUAAAAUCAACAAAAACUUAAAAAAAAAAAACAAAAAAAAAAACACACCACCACCACCAACAACAAUCGGAGCCUGGCAGUUGGUGAGGGUGGGUGGGGGCGAACAGAUGGUGCCACAAGAUGUCCUCGGGCGGCUCACUGGGGACCGAGCCUUGUGGCUCUGUGGCCAAAAAUAAAUAAAUAAGUCAGGGCCCAGCAGAAGUGCUUUCACUUCUAACCCAAGUCACUAGCUGUGGGUAAUGAGUCCUCUUACUCCUUGUUCCCCAUCUCCAAAGGCCAAACAAACAAGUAGAAAAAAAAAGAGAGAGAGUGAGAGAAUGAAUUGAACUGAAAUGAAAUGACUAUAGAUGAAAGAUAUAUAUAUAUAUAUAAAGAGUGGCGGGGG